GUAUCUGUGGUUAGGGUUCAACACCUCUCCAAAGUGCCAGACGCCAUCGAAUGUGAGCAUUUGCCCACUCAAGUCGGUUACGACGAACUGCAAUCAGG